rnacentral:miRNA from 1 species
UGUGUAUACGUGUGUGUGUGU